AAGCCAAUCAAUUAAUCCACUUAUCCGAAUGUGUUUCUGCAGAAAUUUAGAAAAAGCUGGCAACAGUGAAGUCCUGUUACAAGCUUUAAGGACAACUGAGGUCAUCAAGUUCCCUGAAGAUGGCUACAAUU